GCUGGUGACUAUAGCGAAGGAGUUACACCUGUUCCCAUCCCGAACACAGAAGUUAAGCCCUUCCGCGCCAAUGGUACUGCAUAGGCGACUUUGUGGGAGAGUAGGUCAUUGCCAGCA
rfam:Candidatus Margulisbacteria bacterium GWF2_35_9 gwf2_scaffold_2556, whole genome shotgun sequence.